GAUGAACGCUGGCGGCGUGCUUAACACAUGCAAGUCGAACGAUGAAGCCCAGCUUGCUGGGUGGAUUAGUGGCGAACGGGUGAGUAACACGUGAGUAACCUGCCCUUAACUCUGGGAUAAGCCUGGGAAACUGGGUCUAAUACCGGAUAGGAGCGUCCACCGCAUGGUGGGUGUUGGAAAGAUUUAUCGGUUUUGGAUGGACUCGCGGCCUAUCAGCUUGUUGGUGAGGUAAUGGCUCACCAAGGCGACGACGGGUAGCCGGCAUGAGAGGGUGACCGGCCACACUGGGACUGAGGGACGGCCCAGACUCCUACGGGAGGCAGCAGUGGGGAAUAUUGCACAAUGGGCGCAAGCCUGAUGCAGCGACGCCGCGUGAGGGAUGACGGCCUUCGGGUUGUAAACCUCUUUCAGUAGAGAAGAAGCGAAAGUGACGGUACCUGCAGAAGAAGCACCGGCUAACUACGUG
rnacentral:rRNA from 1 species